rnacentral:rRNA from 1 species
GUGGGGAAUAUUGGGCAAUGGAGGCAACUCUGACCCAGCCAUGCCGCGUGCAGGAUGACGGCCCUCUGGGUUGUAAACUGCUUUUAUACGGGAAGAAAAAAUACUACGUGUAGUAUACUGACGGUACCGUAAGAAUAAGGAUCGGCUAACUCCGUGCCAGCAGCCGCGGUAAUACGGAGGAUCCAAGCGUUGUCCGGAUUUAUUGGGUUUAAAGGGUGCGUAGGCGGAUCUUUAAGUCAGUGGUGAAAGCCUGCAGCUUAACUGUAGAAUUGCCAUUGAAACUGAAGAUCUUGAAUGUGGUUAAAGUAGGCGGAAUGUAUCAUGUAGCGGUGAAAUGCUUAGAUAUGAUACAGAACACCGAUAGCGAAGGCAGCUUGCUGAACCAUUAUUGACGCUGAGGCACGAAAGCGUGGGGAGCGAACAGGAUUAGAUACCCGUGUAGUCC